GGAAGAGAAUAAGGUUUGCUCUUCUGCUCCAGGCUUGGCUUGUGCUGCACCUCGAGGAGGCCUCAUUGAGACCUGCUGCAGCCUCUGUGCCCAAACACCCCCUCUUUUGGGGGGAGGCUGAUCCGGCCCAGCCGCAUGAUCGCAGUCAGGUGACGACGCCGAGCACAAAAGCAGCGCGGGAUAAGCAGCUCAGCGUGGCAGAUCAGCUGCUGCCCCGGCCCCUCUGCGAGCUGCUACUGCUCAGGGAAAAUGAGCACCUGGCCCCCUCCUCUGCUCUGGAGCCUCACCACGGUGUGUCUGACAGGUAUUGCUUUAGGCCAGACAACCACCACUCAGGCCCCUGUUGCAUCAACCUCGCUACUUCUGAGUGCUGCUACCACCCAAGUCCCUGUUGCACCAACCCAAAUGUCUUCUGUUGCCACCGCGACCUCAGCCCCCCCAUCCCCAUCUUCUGCUGGAAUGCUCUCAGUUGGAACAGUGACAAACCUCACCAGCCCUACAGUUGUGCCAUCUGCUGUCUCAAGCACAAACUCUCCCUCUCCAACUCUGCCCACCACCCCACGCAUCACUGCACUCACCUCUGGGAUUGCAACCACCCCUCAUGCACCCACAGCACCAAUGGCCACAUCCAGCAGUCCCUGGGCCACCCCUCCAGAUGUAACUGCAUCUCCUGGGGUCCCAUCAGUGGUCCCGUUUCUCAGCACCAUUGAGCCCUCAAACUGCAGCAGAGUGAAUGUGACAACAUGUGCUCCUUGCUCCCCAGGGACCAUUCCCAGCAAUGGUUAUUUUAGCUCACAGCAAAAUGCAGCUUCUUGUCUGCCUUGCCUGCCUGGAUCGUUCUGCAACACCACCAGCUGCACGCUGUGUCUGGCCUGUCCUGCUGGGCGUGAGGCUCCACGGGAGGCUGCUGAGGAGUGUACACUGUGCCGGGCAGGUACGUUCAAAGGUCUGGGUGAUGACACCUGCAAGCCCUGCGAGCCAGGGGAAUACCAACUGCAGCAGGGCCAGGAGAGCUGUGACCUGUGUCCAGAGAACCACUACUGCCCUAGCCCAGAUGUGAACCCAAUCAAGUGCCCUCCUGAUGCCUUCUGCCCUGUGGGCAGCACUGAGCCCCAGUACUGCAUGGAGAUCUUCCUGUACAAGGUGGGCAGCUCCUGCCAGCUGACGCCACUGGUGAUCGUCCUCCUGGCCCUCUUCUCAGCAGGCGCAAUUCUUAUAAUCUUUGUACUAAUUCUGAGAAGAAGGCAAGAACACAGCACAAAGUCUUUGAAGUCCCUGCUGCUACCACAAGGAUCAGAGCAGCACACAACGUAUGGAGUGAUGGAGCACACAGAGCCGGUGUAUGCUGGCUGGUAGAGGGGGAAAGGCAACCUGCAAGCACUGUGUUCCCUUUUCUGUAGGGUAAUGCACGCGUGUGCAUAUGUGAAAGAAGUUUGACCGUCACCAACCUAUUUCCGUAUUGCUAAAAUAAGCACAGAGAAAUGAAAUGCAAGUCAUUUUUCAGCUGUGCCUUUCUGUGCUGACCAACCUGGCUGGAUGCUGUUCUACAUCAAAUGGAUUUACAGCAGAAGCUUCCCCCUCUAAUUCCUAGCUCCACUCGCAAUAAAUACUUCUUUUUUUCCUUUCCUUAAGAAAUUUCAGCAGUCAGCUCAACUGCUGGAACAAAGAACAGCUGCUGCAGAUACUGGACUUCCCACAGCACAAUUGCUUCUACCCGAGCAGGAACUAACACAAAUAUUCCUCCUUUAAGGAAGAUGCACGUUUACUUAUUUAUUUGCCCUUCUCAAAACUUUACCUAUACUUGAAACUGAGGGUCAGCUGAAAAAAGGAAUCCCACACUUUUCCCUUCCUCUCAGCUGUGGGAAAACACGUGCAGCUGAACUUAUGGUUGACUCCUGGACAAAUGUGUCCCUUCUGUUUCCUGCUGUGGUGCUGCGGUCUCUCAUGCAGUGCUUCAUAUUACUCCACAGAGCUACAGAAGCAACACCCUCCUCCUCCUUCUCCAGUGCAAUUCAUUCGCAUACCAUGCAGGCUGCAAAGCCCUGCUCAGAUCAUCCAGCUGUGACACUUCCACAGCGCUGUGCUUCAUCAGCUCUGAGAGCCCUGGUAAAAAUAGUACUUAAUAUUGUGAGAGCUGUGCUUUCAAGUGAGUGUGCACGGAGGUGGAAGCAGGUGUUACUUCUCACUGGAGCCCUUUCCCUGAGCUAAAGCAGCAGCAGCCAGCUGAAGGAACCCAGCUGGUGGGGGUUAAGUGGCUGCUGCCCUCCACUGCUCAUUCUUCUCAUCCCUGGGGAGGUUAUUGUGCUUUUCAAGAAAAAGGAAAUAAACA
ensembl:lncRNA